AUAAAAUAAUAAAAUAAAUAAAAUAAAGAGGCUAAGACAGAAGGGUAAAAUCAGUCCCCUAAAACCCAGAGAUAAGAUUGUGAAACUUCUCUUUGGAUCCUGUCUGGAGUGACAGCU